rnacentral:rRNA from 1 species
UCCCAGACUCCUACGGGAGGCAGCAGUGGGGAAUAUUGCGCAAUGGGGGGAACCCUGAUGCAGCGACGCCGCGUGGGUGAAGGAGCACCUCGGUGCGUAAAGCCCUAUCGGCAGGGAAGAAACAGACGGUACCUGACUAAGAAGCCCCGGCUAACUACGUGCCAGCAGCCGCGGUAAUACGUAGGGGGCGAGCGUUAUCCGGAUUCACUGGGUGUAAAGGGAGCGUAGACGGCCAUGCAAGCCAGGGGUGAAAGCCCGGGGCCCAACCCCGGGACUGCCCUUGGAACUGCAUGGCUGGAGUGCGGGAGGGGCAGGCGGAAUUCCUGGUGUAGCGGUGAAAUGCGUAGAUAUCAGGAGGAACACCGGCGGCGAAGGCGGCCUGCUGGACCGCGACUGACGUUGAGGCUCGAAAGCGUGGGGAGCAAACAGGAUUAGAUACCCUCGUAUA